UCAGUACAGUCUGUUUCAGAUCCACUCAGUGACUUAGAAAAUGAAAGUGGUGACACUCUUCUUCAUAAAUACCACAACAAUCACAGCUUGACUCAUCAUGAUGAUCACAGGACGUCACUCAAAGCAGAGACACUCCCACCACCUAAAACUCUUCACAUGUCGGUAAAUACGCUGCCAUUCAUUGAUCAGCCUCAGAGCUCCAGAACAUGGACGUUAGCAGACACGGUCACCUCAGCUUUGUUAUAUUUCUGCUGUGGAUGAAAGGUCUAACUGAUGGAAGUGAUGUGACACAGACCUCCAUAGUGUGGGGAAAGAAGGGCGAAAGUGCAACAAUGCACUGCAACCACACAAAGGGGUUGUUUUUUAUCCAUAUGUACUGGUACAGACAGCUGCCUGGAGAAACUAUGAAACAGAUCGUCUACACAAGGACUGGCAAUGACAAUCAUGACUUUGGAGAAUUCAGCAAAGAGAAAUUCUCAGCCACCAAGACUGCUCCUGAGAAUGGGACGUUCACAGUGAAGAAUCUGGAGCCAGGAGAUAAAGGCUUGUAUUUCUGUGCUGUCAGUGAUACACAUUGA